GAGCGCCAAGUUCCAACUGCCGCCCACCGGCACCUCCCAAAUUUCGCUUUCUUUGUUCGGUGCCUGCCGCUUGGUGGCCUCCUCCUCCUCCCAUCCGCUCCCCCGCUUGUCGUUGGUCGAAUUCGCCAACGGAAACUGGGAGAUGGCUAGACAACGACGAAUUCCCAGUCCCUCUUUCCCCUGCGCGCUUGCACGGACGAGCUAUUUCCUCCGCCGCACUGCCUGAUGUCAAAGGGCUACAAGAAGAGGAAAUCGAACCCUGGAAAAGAUAGGGAUCCAAGCCGUUCCGAGGGGAGCAGAGAACGCAAAUCAGGCAAAACGGUGUAAUUUUUCUAAGAAGCUUGACUGAAGAUCAGAACUCGGGAAGCUAUGCCAUCUCCUUCAGCACCUAUUCGUGUUGGUGUUCCGCCACCCUAUGUAACAUCUCAUGGAGCUAGAGUUGCAAGGCUACAUAUGUAUGACUGGAUUGUACUGGUUCUUCUAGCUGUGGUGGACGGAGUACUAAAUAAAAUAGAACCAUUCCAUCGAUUUGUUGGGUCAGACAUGAUGACAGAUCUCAGAUAUCCCCUGAAAGACAACACAGUGCCAUUUUGGGCGGUGCCGAUAUACGGUAUCAUUGGACCUAUGCUUAUCAUGACCGUAAUAUACUUCCGGAGGAGGAAUGUGUAUGAUCUGCAUCAUUCUAUACUAGGUCUUCUAUUUUCAAUGGCUAUAACUGCGGUUUUAACUGAUGCAAUUAAGGAUGGUGUUGGUCGACCACGUCCAGAUUUCUUUUGGCGCUGUUUUCCUGAUGGAGUGCCUGCCUAUGACAACUUCACUUCGGGCGUCCUAUGUCAUGGUAAAGCCAGUGAUAUGAAAGAAGGUCACAAGAGUUUUCCAAGUGGUCAUACUUCUUUGUCUUUUGCUGGCCUGGGGUUCUUGUCAUGGUAUCUGGCUGGUAAAAUCGAAGUUUUUGAUCGAAGAGGCCAUGUUGCAAAGCUCUGCAUUCCUCUACUCCCUCUGCUUUCUGCAGCCUUAGUAGCUGUUUCUCGAGUAGACGACUAUCGGCAUCAUUGGCAAGAUGUUUGUACUGGUGGAAUUUUAGGACUGGUGGUUGCUUCUUUGUGCUAUCUGCACUUUUUUCCACUACCAUGUGACGAAAGUGGUAUGCUUCAUACUUCUUUUAGAGUAACUCAAAAGGCCCCGGAACAUUUGCGAUUUUAGUGCUUAGAAACCUGUGACGUCAACUGAAAAAUGAUUUGCAAUAGUGAAAAUUGGCAUCGAGUUCUUUACCUGCCUAUGGCCUCAUGCAUACAUCCGGCAUGUUCAUAACCUGGAAGGUGGACACACAAGUGUAACCCACAGCGAUGGAUCACCAAAACUCGGCGCUGAACGGUUUGUUUGAAGGUCCUGAUGGAUUGGAGAACCCCAGGCACUAGAUUCCUAGGAAGCUGGUUGGAGAUAGCAAUGACGGAACCGUUGCUAAAUACCUGACACGUGUUCAGUAGAACCUGAAAACCAGCUGAGACACGUACUAAUGUACUAUGGAUAUCUUUCAGGUCCCCUCAGAACAUAGUGUAGUAUAACAUAUUGGCAUAUGGCACCACGAAGACAAUUUUCAGGAUGCUAGCCAAUACUGGUUUUGGCAUGGGGAAAAACUUCAUUGUAUAAUGCUGAUGAUUUGUGACCUCUCUGCUUUGUAACUGUAGGCUGUAACAAGUAGCGAUGUGAUUUUUGACUAUCAUUGUUAGUGUUAGCCUUGAAGCUAAAUGGAUCGUUAUUAGUAGAUCACUUUUUCAGGAUUCCUUAUAUAUCAGUGAAAGCUGUGGCUUCAUUACUCAUUAGCAGGAUA